UGGGGAAUUUUGGACAAUGGGCGAAAGCCUGAUCCAGCAAUGCCGCGUGUGUGAAGAAGGCCUUCGGGUUGUAAAGCACUUUUGUCCGGAAAGAAAUCCCUGGUCCUAAUAUGGCCGGGGGAUGACGGUACCGGAAGAAUAAGCACCGGCUAACUACGUGCCAGCAGCCGCGGUAAUACGUAGGGUGCAAGCGUUAAUCGGAAUUACUGGGCGUAAAGCGUGCGCAGGCGGUGAUGUAAGACCGAUGUGAAAUCCCCGGGCUCAACCUGGGAACUGCAUUGGUGACUGCAUCGCUUGAGUAUGGCAGAGGGGGGUAGAAUUCCACGUGUAGCAGUGAAAUGCGUAGAGAUGUGGAGGAAUACCGAUGGCGAAGGCAGCCCCCUGGGUCAAUACUGACGCUCAUGCACGAAAGCGUGGGGAGCAAACAGG
rnacentral:rRNA from 1 species